rnacentral:tRNA from 1 species
UCCCUGGUGGCUCAGCUGGUAAAGAAUCUGCCUGCAAUGUGGGAAACCUGGGUUCGAUUCCUGGUUUGGGAA